CCUACGGGCGGCAGCAGUGGGGAAUAUUGCACAAUGGGGGAAACCCUGAUGCAGCGACGCCGCGUGAGCGAUGAAGUAUUUCGGUAUGUAAAGCUCUAUCAGCAGGGAAGAAGAUGACGGUACCUGACUAAGAAGCCCCGGCUAACUACGUGCCAGCAGCCGCGGUAAUACGUAGGGGGCAAGCGUUAUCCGGAUUUACUGGGUGUAAAGGGAGCGUAGACGGCGAUGCAAGCCAGAUGUGAAAGCCCGGGGCUCAACCCCGGGACUGCAUUUGGAACUGUGUGGCUGGAGUGUCGGAGAGGCAGGCGGAAUUCCUAGUGUAGCGGUGAAAUGCUUAGAUAUCAGGAGGAACAUCGGUGGCGUAAGCGCUUUACUGGGCCGUAAUUGACGCUGAGGAACGAAAGCCAGGGUAGCAAAUGGGAUUAGAUACCCUGGUAGUC
rnacentral:rRNA from 1 species